ensembl:lncRNA
CUUUUAUCUAAGCAGAGUGUAAUGGGGUACAGAAAAUUACAAUACUGGGAUCCAGGGUCAGUGUCGCGCGCAGUGGAGAAUGCGUGUGACGUCACUGACGAGGGCGCGCAGGUGAGUCGACGCUGCAGGUAACUUCUGCUUUCGUAUUUCUCUUGAAGGAUGUAUGUUCUCUGAUAUGUGUUUGAUAUCUUUAUUUUUAAGCGAAUUAAGUUAUUUCGUUGCUGUUUCGUGUUGUCUGUGGUUGAUUUUAACAUUUGUGUUCACAUAAGACUAAGAUUGUGUGUUUGAGUGAACGCUGUUUCUGGACUCUCAGGAUCCGUUCAGCUGAAUGAUUAGUUUGUCAUUUCCACACAGUGACAGAGUAAGUGCUGGAGAUCUCACUCUUCAUCAUGAAUCACACACAAACACCCCGAGAUCAGGAUUUCUCUCCAGGAUGCAGUUCAGUUCAUCAGAAGAGAUCAGAAGCAGAGCCCAGCUGUGUGUCUAUGAGGAGUGAUGCUUCUUUGCCUCGUCCAAUUAAUUUGAAGAGUGAUGACACAAGGUUUAACCUCAAGUAUUAAUGUAACGUAGAAUAACAAAGGUUCACAGGUCAAUAAACAACAGAGGUAGGCAACUGGGAAAACA